AUGCACGCAUAUGAGGAAUUCAAGCCAAUAAUAAUGAAAAAAAGCAAUACGGCUGCAUCGGCUAAAGAAAGAGUGUCGGCUUGGCAAAAAAUAACGGACAGAGUAAAUGCGUGUGUAUUAAAUUGCAAAUUUGACAUCGCCUCCCCUUUUAUUAUAAUGUAAAAUAAUUAGACACCCCUUCCGCAUCCUUUUGACUUUUAAAUCACUAUGAAAGCAUUUACUUUUCCUGCCAUUUAUUUCUUUAAGUUAAAAUAACAAUGUGUAUUGACUAGGAAUAUAUGGUUUCUUAUUUAAUAAGGUGUAAUCCUUCUGGAGCCAGAAGAACUUUGAGCCAAGACAAAAUGAAACACAAAAACAUUCUGCAAUAAGGUAAUAUUUGAUUACACAAUCACUGAACUAUUGAUUAAACACAAUUUAGUAUAUUCUUUUGUAGCUAAUAGAAAGAAGGCUGAAGCCCAUCUAACUGGCGGGGGCCCACCACCACCUCCCCUCACCCCAUCUGAGGAGCUGGCUCUGUCCCUUAAUAAAGGGCGACCAGGGGUUGCUGGCAUUCCAGGGGGCACUUCAUCACACACACCAUGCACCACAAGUAACAUGGUGAAUUAUACUGAUAGAGGGAUUGUAUUAUUGGACCCUACAGAAAGAACACAGUCUGUCACAGUUGAUGAAGAUGACGAUGAAGAGACCACAUCUGCUGUGACAGAAGUGGACAAUGCUGGUAGAUCCACUGAGUACAAACCUGGGGAUUUGCCCACAGAUGAAGGUCCUUCAACCUCAAUGUGCGAUCUAAGCAGUGUAAGAAUUUGUGUGCAGUUGUCCAUAUUUUAAUUUUAUUGUCUGACAGAAUCUCAUUUAUUUAAUUAUUUUUGCCUUUCAAAAACAAAUAAGAAAAAGUGAGAUGGAGAUGGACCUUAUACAGCUUCAAAUGGAAGAGAAAAGGCGAUCCAUUAAAAAAAGCAACACUAGAAAUUCAAUUACUGGAGCAUUGCCUUAAGGAAAUAAAGAAAUGAAUUGCACAGCAGACCAGUGCAAACAAUUUAAUAAAAGUAAUUUUCACAAAUCCUGUCUCUCAAAAGUCUUCCAUCUCUGUGUGCAAAAAUCUGUAGGGGUUCCUCUGGGCCAUCUUCUUCAAUACCAGGAGGGUGGCUCUCUCCUCUUAUAGUGGCAAUGUUGUGAAGCACAACACAAGCCACUAUGAUGUCGCAUGCUCUCUCUGGACUGACCCGGAGCCCACGCAGACACUGAAACCUAGACUUGAGGAUCCCUAUGGUCAUCUCCACCUUGGCCCGUGUUCGGCUGUGAGCCAGGUUAAACCGUGUCUGUGGUCCAGGAUUCCCUACCAACGUAUUUAAUUCACAUAUGUGUAUUUAAUUCAGUUAUGCAUUACCUUUACUUGAGCGUGCAAAGCUGGAUGGUGAUCCCGCAGGUGCUGCAUCAAAUUAGAUGUGUUGGAUCUUCUAGCAGCAACCUUUUUACGGCACGUUUUGCAAGAUGGUGAUCCGUCAUCUUCAAUGACGCCCUGGUCAUUCUUUUUGUAUCCAAAAUGAUCCCAAACUGCCGACUUCAGGCGCUUCUUUGGAGGAAAAUAAGUUUCGCUGCUAGAUGCCUCAGCCAUAGUUAAUCAAGUGCGCGUGCGUCUUAGCCUUGGUCUCCUCUGAGCUCGGAACUUGAAACUAGCGCACAGUUGUAUCGUUCCCGAUGAGGAUGGAGCGCCGUGUGGAUUCCAGAUUGCUGGAAAAAACACCAAUUUGAAAAGGCACCUGAAGACACAGCAUCCUGCAGUCUCUGACAAGAUGCUGUGACAAAAAGCAGCUGGGUCACAGCCUCAGAGGCGGAAUCUUCAGUUAAAACAUGGCUGCGGAAUGCUAGAGAUCGGGAUGGGGGAAGGAGCAGAAGGACACUGAGGGGAUUUAU